UUAAAUUGAAGAGUUUGAUCAUGGCUCAGAUUGAACGCUGGCGGCAGGCUUAACACAUGCAAGUCGAACGGUAGCAGGAAGAAGCUUGCUUCUUUGCUGACGAGUGGCGGACGGGUGAGUAAUGCUUGGGAAUCUGGCUUAUGGAGGGGGAUAACUACGGGAAACUGUAGCUAAUACCGCGUAGUAUCGAGAGAUGAAAGACUGGGACCGCAAGGCCAGUUGCCAUAAGAUGAGCCCAAGUGGGAUUAGGUAGUUGGUGGGGUAAAGGCCUACCAAGCCGACGAUCUCUAGCUGGUCUGAGAGGAUGACCAGCCACACUGG
rnacentral:rRNA from 1 species